AAACAUACACACCCCAAAAGGAGGGGAGAAACAGCCCAGCUGGUGUGUGCCUUUUUUUUUUUUUUUAAAGGAGAAUCCCUCAGGCUCCUGAGAAAUUAUCCAAGUGAUAUUCACCAUUGCUCAUGAGUCCACAUAUAUUCUUACCAUGGGCCACUUCUCUUUCCACACAAAGCGGCUGAUCAGGCCCUGACCUUGGAAUAGCCAACCUGCCUAAGUUGAGAAUUAAACCUCUGGAGCUCUACCACUCUUAGGAUUUAU